rnacentral:rRNA from 1 species
CGUCACACUAUCAUUAACUGAAUCCAUAGGUUAAUGAGGCGAACCGGGGGAACUGAAACAUCUAAGUACCCCGAGGAAAAGAAAUCAACCGAGAUUCCCCCAGUAGCGGCGAGCGAACGGGGAGGAGCCCAGAGCCUGAAUCAGCAUGUGUGUUAGUGGAAGCGUCUGGAAAGGCGCGCGAUACAGGGUGACAGCCCCGUACACAAAAGCGCAUGUGCUGUGAGCUCGAUGAGUAGGGCGGGACACGUGGUAUCCUGUCUGAAUAUGGGGGGACCAUCCUCCAAGGCUAAAUACUCCUGACUGACCGAUAGUGAACCAGUACCGUGAGGGAAAGGCGAAAAGAACCCCGGCGAGGGGAGUGAAAAAGAACCUGAAACCGUGUACGUACAAGCAGUGGGAGCACCCUUUGGGUGUGACUGCGUACCUUUUGUAUAAUGGGUCAGCGACUUAUAUUCUGUAGCAAGGUUAACCGAAUAGGGGAGCCGGAGGGAAACCGAGUCUUAACCGGGCGUUAAGUUGCAGGGUAUAGACCCGAAACCCGGUGAUCUAGCCAUGGGCAGGUUGAAGGUUGGGUAACACUAACUGGAGGACCGAACCGACUAAUGUUGAAAAAUUAGCGGAUGACCUGUGGCUGGGGGUGAAAGGCCAAUCAAACCGGGAGAUAGCUGGUUCUCCCCGAAAGCUAUUUAGGUAGCGCCUCGUGAAUUCAUCUCCGGGGGUAGAGCACUGUUUCGGCUAGGGGGCCAUCCCGGCUUACCAACCCGAUGCAAACUGCGAAUACCGGAGAAUGUUAUCACGGGAGACACACGGCGGGUGCUAACGUCCGUCGUGAAGAGGGAAACAACCCAGACCGCCAGCUAAGGUCCCAAAGUCAUGGUUAAGUGGGAAACGAUGUGGGAAGGCCCAGACAGCCAGGAUGUUGGCUUAGAAGCAGCCAUCAUUUAAAGAAAGCGUAAUAGCUCACUGGUCGAGUCGGCCUGCGCGGAAGAUGUAACGGGGCUAAACCAUGCACCGAAGCUGCGGCAGCGACACUGUGUGUUGUUGGGUAGGGGAGCGUUCUGUAAGCCUGUGAAGGUGUGUCGUGAGGCAUGCUGGAGGUAUCAGAAGUGCGAAUGCUGACAUAAGUAACGAUAAAGCGGGUGAAAAGCCCGCUCGCCGGAAGACCAAGGGUUCCUGUCCAACGUUAAUCGGGGCAGGGUGAGUCGACCCCUAAGGCGAGGCCGAAAGGCGUAGUCGAUGGGAAACGGGUUAAUAUUCCCGUACUUGGUGUUACUGCGAAGGGGGGACGGAGAAGGCUAUGUUGGCCGGGCGACGGUUGUC